rnacentral:sRNA from 1 species
ACCUAGCCCAGAUAGCAGCGGCAUCCUUUUCUUUUUUUUCUUUCAAAAAAAAGAAAAGAUAGAGCGGAUAGCUGGAUAAAGC